UGCCCCCCUCUGUGGCGAACAGGGAAUGUUCUUAAUGGUUUCUCUGAAUACUGUGCUGGUGCCUCAGUGUCCCCUAGGCAGUUCUUAAGUAUCUAGCAGAGCAACGGGCCA